GAUGAACGCUAGCGAUAGGCCUAACACAUGCAAGUCGAGGGGCAUCACAUGAAGUAGCAAUACGGAUGGUGGCGACCGGCGCACGGGUGAGUAACACGUAUGCAACCUGCCUUCAACAAGGGGAUAACCCGUUGAAAGACGGACUAAUACCCUAUAACACAGGGGUCCCGCAUGGGAAUAUUUGUUAAAGGACAACCGGUUGAAGAUGGGCAUGCGUUCCAUUAGCUAGUUGGCGGGGUAACGGCCCACCAAGGCAACGAUGGAUAGGGGAACUGAGAGGUUUAUCCCCCACACUGGUACUGAGACACGGACCAGACUCCUACGGGAGGCAGCAGUGAGGAAUAUUGGUCAAUGGACGCAAGUCUGAACCAGCCACGUCGCGUGAAGGAAACGGCCCUACGGGUUGUAAACUUCUUUUAUACGGGAAUAAAGUGCCCCACGCGUGGGGUUUUGCAUGUACCGUAUGAAUAAGGAUCGGCUAACUCCGUGCCAGCAGCCGCGGUAAUUCAC
rnacentral:rRNA from 1 species